GAUGUCGGUAUGUCAGCGUGUGUCGUGUGUGCCACCGGUCAUCUGUGUGUGGUGCGUGUGUCUCCGCACCACGACUCCCUCUCCUGGGUCUGCUCAGUCCACGGAGGCAGCUCCCCUUCAGCUGUUGCCAGAAAACCGGGGAGGAAAGGAAAGUGCUGAAAGUCAGAGCUCAUCAAUAAAAUCUGCGCGACCUGAACUCGCUGCUGACUGGCCGCGUCGCCGCAGCCCCUGGCAGCCGGGACAGUGAGGACGCUGCAAGCCGCCCUGGGCCGCCGGGCCACAUGUGGGCCUCACCCUCUCGUUCCUGCCUGGGACCCAGCAGCCCUGCGACCAAGGAGCCCGGGCAGGGCUCCCGGGAAGCAAAGGCCUCCCCGGCCCUAGCCAGAGGUGGGGUCGCAUAACCCUCUCCCCUCCCCGGGCUGGGGAGGGCUGCCGGCUCUAACCCUUCCCCGGGAGCUCGCAGCGCCGGGAGGAAACCUGGGUCAGAGGUGAAGGAGGUGGCGCCGGGUGUCCAGGUCCGCGGCCUCCUGGGCGAGGUUUCAUUUCGCAGGAGCGCGACUUUCGGAGGAUGCCGGCAAGUGGGGCCGCGGCCCUGAGUCCCAGACCAGCGAAAGUCGGCUUUCUCUUUCUCUCUCCUUUUACUUUCCAAGCGAGCAUUAAAGAAGCUUGGACUCAAGACUCAAGUCCGCUGUGCAUGAGCGAGGGACUUGCGGGGGGGCGGGGGGGGGGGAAGUGAUUCUGUCCGAACUGGAGGCGAGUAUCAUUUUUACAACCUCUCAAUUAGCGACCGAGUGGAUUAGCACCUUCUUAAGCUUUGCCUCGGAAAGAAGCAGCCGUAAUCUUGUUGCUAUUUCCCCCCAGGGCACUGGCUCUUUGAAUCAGCUCCUUCUCCCACCCCUCCAACCCCCAUCUCGCUGCGGAGAAAAGUUUUAACAAAAAAUCAGAAAAGGCAAGGAGCGAGGAGUGAAUGCCACUGACGUCAUUGGGUGGGGAAGGGGGCUCCGGGAAAGACUCCUGGAAACUCCUCCGCACAAACAAAAAACAAAAAGGACUUGGCUGCUUCCCAUGUGUCAAUAUUUGGGGAGGGGAGUUCAACCCCAGAAUGAGGCCGAGUUUUCAAAGUUUAAGGAGAGAGGGGUGA
rnacentral:lncRNA from 1 species